UCCAUUUUUUUUUUCCUUUAAAGGAAUGGACAACGCAAAAUAAAUCUCUGAGUCUGUCUAAUUAUCCUUGUUUUACUGGAAUGGGGCAAGGAGCCAGGAGCUCUGCUUUCCUCACCUGCUGCCCAUGACUUUGAGGAGAUGGCACCCCAUCUCAUGGGGAGGGAUAGGCCAGAGAUGCUGUGUCUUCAUUACCCCUGAGGGCUGAUGCCCUACAUCAGUGGUUCUUGAACUUGACAGUGGGUCAGAAUCACCUGAAGGCCUUGUUAAAACACAAAUUGUUAGACCUACCCCCAGAAUUCUUGAUUUAGUAGGUCUUGGGUGGGGCCUGAAAAUCAUUUCCAACAAGCUCCCCAGGUAGUGCCAAUGUUGCUCAUCUGAGAGUGCUGCUUGAGAACCACCACCCUACCCAAUGCUAUCCUCCUAAACCAAGUGAGGAGGCCCUCUGCAUGCUCCUGCUGGACCCGAUUUCUCUCCAACAUAACUCCCCUCACCCUGCAGAGUUCCCUCAUUUAAUCAGUGUCUUCCCCACUAACCUGUCCACUGCAUGAGGACAGGAACUACUUCAAUCUUGGUUAUCUUUCAUGGUGCAGUGCCAACGUCUGGCACCAACUAAACAUUCUUCCAAUGUUUGUUGAAUUAAUAGAUGAAUGACCCUAACUGGCUUACCAAAAACACAAAAAAAUAGAAGAAAAAGAGGCCUCCAAAGAACAUGGUUCCAGCCCCCUCUCCUCUACAGAUAAGCAUAGAAAGCAUGAAAGAGUCUCACCUACCACUGCUGUAUUUACUUUUGGAAUCUUCCCCUCUCCAGGGGUUCAUUGCAGACCCUCUGCUGACCUCAGACACCCUGCUGGAGUCACAGAAGAUAACAAAUGAUUUUCACCACCACCUUCUUAUCUCUACCAGCACUUGCCCUGGAGGGAUUCUACUAUGCCUCCCUCCACCCACAGGAGAUCUCUGGUGAGAAGAAGACCACUCUCCUAUAAUCCUGAGAAGGGGAUUGAGGCUUGACAUACACUUGACUUCCACUCCAAUGCAGUAGAAGAACACCCUGAUGCUACCACAGUACUGAGAAACCAUGAAGAAUACUUUGUACUCAGAUAUAAGCUUCUUUCUGCAGGUGCUACUUCCCACAGACUGCCCCAAGCCUGGAAGUCUUUCCAUGAGCCACUAAGGAAAUGGGAUAUAGAGCUUCCAGAAAGAAAAGUAUCAGAGAUGGUCUCCUCACCUGGUAUUCAUACCUCUCCCACCAUGAUCUAGACCAAUUAAUCAUUUCAAGUUUUAUUCUUCCUUUAUACUGUAUCAUAACAGCACACCUUAGAUUUGGGGGGAAAGUCACAAUUUUAAAUAUCUUCUCCCAUUAUUCUCCAAAGUGUGGCAAUACUUGGCUAUUGUAACCAUCAGCACAAAGCACAUCAGCCAAACCAGACUCUCCACCAUUUCCCAGACAUAGGCUGUAAUUCACUUCUUGUUUUCAUCAUUCUUUCUCAAGAAAUACCUUCUUCUUUCCCUUUCAUCCAAUUCCAUAUGCCUCAUCCCAUCUCUACCAAAAUGCCAUCAUCCAAUGAAAGCUUUCUUAAUUACAGCAGACUGGAAAGGUGUCUUUACUCUGAAUUUUCACAGUAUUUGGUUAUGCUUCUGUAUGUCAGCUACCAACUGAUCCUUCCUAUUUUAGUAACUUUAGGUUUAUAAUAGUUGUAUUGAGAUAAAGUCCAUUCACCAUACAAUUCAUUUACUUACAGUAUAUAUAAUUCAAUGGUUUUUAGUACAUUCACAAGUUGUGCAACCAUCGUCUUACUCAAUUUUAGAACAUUUUCAUUACCCCAAAAAGAAACUCUGUGCCAAGCAGUCACUCCUCAUUCCUUCCAUCCUCAGUCCCUGACAACCACUAAUCUAUUUUCUGUUUCUAUAGAUUUGCCUAUUUUGGACAUUUCAUGUAAAUGGGAUGACAUGUUAUAAGGUCUUUUGUGACUGCUUUCUUUCACUUAUGUGUUCUCAUGUUUUCAAAAUGUAUCCAUGUUGUAACAUGUAUCGGUACUUCAUUUAUUUGUAUUGCCAAAUAAAAUUCCAUUGUAUGGAUAACCACA